UACAGAGGUCUCAAGCGUUGUUCGGAUUCACUGGGUUUAAAGGGUGUGUAGGCGGGCAGUUAAGUCAGUGGUGAAAUCUCCGGGCUCAACCCGGAAACUGCCAUUGAUACUAUCUGUCUUGAAUAUCGUUGAGGCGGGCAGAAUACGUCAUGUAGCGGUGAAAUGCAUAGAUAUGACAUAGAAUACCGAUUGCGAAGGCAGCUCGCUAAACGAUCAUUGACGCUGAGGCACGAAAGCGUGGGGAUCAAACAGG
rnacentral:rRNA from 1 species